GACGAACGCUGGCGGCGUGCUUAACACAUGCAAGUCGAACGCUGAAGCUCAGCUUUUGUUGGGUGGAUGAGUGGCGAACGGGUGAGUAACACGUGAGUAACCUGCCUCCUUCUUUGGGAUGACGCCCGGAAACGGGUGCUAAUACUGGAUAUUCACUGGUCUUCGCAUGGGGGUUGGUGGAAAGGGUUUUUCUGGUGGGGGAUGGGCUCGCGGCCUAUCAGCUUGUUGGUGGGGUGAUGGCCUACCAAGGCUUUGACGGGUAGCCGGCCUGAGAGGGUGACCGGUCACAUUGGGACUGGGAUACGGCCCAGACUCCUACGGGAGGCAGCAGUGGGGAAUAUUGCACAAUGGGCGCAAGCCUGAUGCAGCGACGCCGCGUGAGGGAUGGAGGCCUUCGGGUUGUGAACCUCUUUCGCUCAUGGUCAAGCCGCAACAAUGGUUGUGGUGAGGGUAGUGGGUAAAGAAGCGCCGGCUAACUACGUG
rnacentral:rRNA from 1 species